ACCGCGGCUGAAAAGCCGCGCUGAACCCGCAGGAGUCAGCAGAAGCCAUAGUACGCGUGUUGUUGCAACAACACACGGAAGGGC
rnacentral:ncRNA from 1 species